rnacentral:rRNA from 1 species
AAUGAACGCUGGUGGCAGACCUAACACAUGCAAGUCGAACGAUUUAUAAAAACUUACGGUUUUUGUAAAGAGUGGCAAACGGGUGAGUAAUGCAUGGGAAUCUACCUAGAAGUUUGGGAUAAACUAGUUAGAAAUAGUAGCUAAUACCGGAUACACCCUGAGGGGGAAAGUUGACUUUUAGUCUUCGCUUUUAGAUGAGCCCAUGUUAAAUUAGUUAGUUGGUGGGAUAAUAGCCUACCAAGACGAUGAUUUAUAGCUGGUCUUAGAGGAUGAUCAGCCACACUGGAAUUGAGAUACGGUUCAGACUCCUACGGGAGGCAGCAUGGGGGAAUAUUGGACAAUGGGGCGCAAGCCUGAUCCAGGUCCAUGCCACGUGAGUGAUGAAGGUCUUA